GCCAGGCAUGGUGGAACAUGCAUAUAGUCCCAGCUAUUUAGAAGGUUGGGGCAGGGGGAUUGCUUGCACCUAGGAGUUCUGGCCUAUAGUGUGCUGUCUGCACUAAGGUGCAUCAGGUGUCUGCACUAAGUUCAUAUCAAUAUGGUGACCUCCUAGGAGCAAGGAACUGCGAGAUUGCCUAAGGAGGGGUGGACAUGGGAGCAGGUCAAAACUGUGCUGAUCAGUAGUGGGAGUGUGCCUGUGAAUAGCCACUGUAGUCCAACCUGGGCAAGACUCGAUUUCUA
rnacentral:SRP_RNA from 1 species